rnacentral:tRNA from 1 species
GGAGAGAUGGCAGAGUGGUCGAUUGCGGCGGUCUUGAAAACCGUUAAACUGAAAGGUUUCAGGGGUUCGAAUCCCUUUCUCUCCG